rnacentral:rRNA from 1 species
UACGUAGGGUGCAAGCGUUAAUCGGAAUUACUGGGCGUAAAGCGUGCGCAGGCGGCUAUGCAAGACAGAUGUGAAAUCCCCGGGCUCAACCUGGGAACUGCAUUUGUGACUGCAUGGCUAGAGUACGGUAGAGGGGGAUGGAAUUCCGCGUGUAGCAGUGAAAUGCGUAGAUAUGCGGAGGAACACCGAUGGCAAAGGCAAUCCCCUGGACCUGUACUGACGCUCAUGCACGAAAGCGUGGGGAGCAAACAGG